rnacentral:rRNA from 1 species
UACGGAGGGUGCAAGCGUUGUCCGGAUUUAUUGGGUUUAAAGGGUGCGCAGGUGGGUAUUUAAGUCUGGCUUGAAAGCAGGUGGCUCAACCAUCUGAUGUGGCUGGAAACUGGAUAUCUUGAAUGGGUUGGCGGUAGCCGGAAUGGGUCAUGUAGCGGUGAAAUGCAUAGAUAUGACCCGGAACACCGAUUGCGAAGGCAGGCUACUACGACUUGAUUGACACUGAGGCACGAGAGCAUGGGUAGCGAACAGG